GGUUGCAGGUGUAAAGGUAGAGAUAUCAUAGCUGAGCAAUACUAAUCACCCGAAGCUUUCUCAAG
rnacentral:rRNA from 1 species